rnacentral:tRNA from 1 species
GGUCCUAUGGCUUAGAUGGCAAAUCGCCUGCCUAGUAAGCAGGAGAUCACGAGUUCGAGUCUCGUUGGGACCU